GCAUUGCACGAAAGAAGAAAAGCUUAGCCCGCCAAGGGAGAAGGCUGGAAGUGGUCCUGGGGGUCUUUAACGACCCCUACAAGGUUAAGGCACUUCCCCCUACUUCGUGGCAUCAGCGCUUAGAACAGUGU